AUCCCGAAUUUCCAUUUCUCCGAGCGGGUCUGGGCUGGAAGUCGCAGUCACCACAACCGAGGGAUUUUUCUUCCAGAUUUUGCUGCCGUUAAAGCGAAGAGAGGAGGGGAGCCCACCUCCGCCGCCGCGGCCGCCCGAGCCCUGCCCGCCGAGGCGAGCGGGCACCGCGGGGCCGAAGAGGAGAUGCCGGGGGGGGAGCCGGGCGCUGCCCCCUCUCACUCGUAAGCCGCAGAGAGAGCCAGGGAGAGAAAAUUGCCCCAGACCAGGCAGCAAAAUACUGGUUUUAGAAGACUGCGAGCCGGUCUCCUGCACGGUGAUAUAAUUAAUUUAGGUGCGGGGAUCCCAGAUCCCAGGGAGAAGGGAAAUGACUGAUUUGGCCAGAAAAGGCUUCCCUGACGCAGGCGGCGAGGAGCCGCCACCCAAGGCAGGUCCGGUGCUGUUGUGUCCCCUCAACGUCCCACACGGUGGUGGUCCUCCCGGAGUGCUCGUCCUGCUCUGCCACCAAGCCCCCUGAACCCACCGGUUGGCCAAGCACCUUCUCAAGGCAGUGGUGCGCUGUGCUUGGGUCCCUCCAUCUUAAAUAAAAACAAAGCCAGCAGAUUACAAGGGAUAACGUGGUCCCAGAGCGAAACUCCGCUUGCCGUAUUUACGUUGUGCAACUCCACACAGGCCCUCUCCUUCCAGCUAUCUGAAACGAUGUGUAAGUAGGAGGAGGUCACAGGUGACUGGCAAGUUCAACGUACUUAGCUCAAUUAUCCAAGUUUCAUUUCCAAAUUGUGUUCAAUUUGAUCUUCCUGCCUCUCCCCAAAUUACUGUAGAGAAAAAAAAAUAUCAAAUGAAAGCAGACAAUUUAAGCCAAAUCCUGUAUACCAUUAUUUAUAUGCAAAAUCAUUUUUGUGAUAUAUACUCCCCUUAAUGGUUAUGGGACGCCAGAUCUUUCCAAGCGGAUUUACAAACCUAGCCAUCAAAUUAUUUCAAAGGCAGGCCUAUUAGGGACAAAAAUCAUUAUGAACUUUCAGAAGCUUUGUAAAAGAAAUAAGUUUCUGAAUGUUGUCUCUUUAAAUUUUACUUAAGUUUGGUUUUUAAUUUAAGCCUGGAGGCACAGUAGAGAGAUAUGCAGAGUCUAAUAAGGAGUUUGGAAAAUAAUGUGCUGUAAUCCAGUGCCGAGCUAUUUCUCCAUAAAAUAUGGAUAAGGAAUCAAUUCAUAAGCACAAAUAUCUACUAGGACUGAGUUUUAACAUAACAUUUCACAUGAGCAUUCUUACAUGCAUUAUUAAGGAGAUAACAAAAGUGCUUCAAAUCAAGCUCUAUACAGUCACAUCUGGAAAUGCUCUUUUCUGUCUAAUUUUCAUUUUUUUCCCUCGAAAAAAUGUUAGAAGAAAAACUAGUCUGUCCCCUUGUAUAUUAACUGUUACCAUCAGCUUUUAAUCAGCAACAUGUAUAGUUAGAUUUACAGAAUCCAUUCCAUGUUGCCCCUUUUAGAGAACAGUAAAAUGAAGAUAGUAUCUUUAUUCAUUUAUAGAACCUGAUGUUAAAACCAAAACCACACACAAAUAGCAUAUACAUUGCUUUAUGCAUAUAGACAGGCAUGUAGAUACAUAGACACAACACACUUAUACAUGGAAACAAGUCAUGACCGUGUGUUGGAAAACAUAAUAAAAAAUAUCUGUGCAUUUCACCAGAUCCUAAGUCAGACGUCAUCAGAUAAGAAGAAGUCUAGGGAAAAUUAGUUUAAAAUCAGAUAUAGCUAAUUUCGGAAAGUACUGGAACUAUAGCAAGCUUUGCUGCACAAUGUUUAAUCACCGUCAGUUUUUAAGGAAGCUCUUUGGGCUUUUCAGUCAAAUAAAACAUUACCACUAAGCAAUGAAGGGUUAAUAAACUCCCCACAGGUUACAAAGAGUGGAUACAGGUUUGGGGCUUUUUUUGGCUAAUGUAUAGUGUAAUGGAAUCUUAUUCUGGGGUCAAAGAUAAAAGAAGUCUCUAAGAUAUACCACUACUAUUUCAUUUCUUUUUGUUUUUAAAUGAAUGUUAUAUUUUUCCUUUGGACGGAAAGGCAAGCGAAGUAUUUUCCAAACAGAAACAGCAAAGAUUAUUUAGAAGAAAAAACAUAAGCAUUGUGGGUUUGUUGUUUUUUUUUUUUAAAUACUCUGGAGUUUUCUGAACAACUCUGAUGUACUCACAUUCUUAUCACAACUAUUUUCUUUUUACUAUUGUAAGUGGAUAUUCAAGCUAAAUUGAUGCUUUAUGUAUAUCCUGUCUCAAUUUGUAAUACACUAUUCUCUGUAAGGAGAUAAUUUGAAAAAAAAAUACAAAAAAGAAGAAGUGAUACCACUGACAACAAUUUACUUAAAUUCACAAACCUUGAAAUUGAUGCAUCUCCUAUCAAUCAUAGUCAGAAGCCACAGUAAAACACAUCCAACAUUUGUAUAUCAAAACUGGGACUAAAAAAACACCCUGUUUUGUUCAAUUUAAAUGUCCUUCAACAUGUUGUCAUUUUAUACGCUGAUAUUACUGGGGGAUUUUUACUAUGGGUUAGCUUUCUUCUGUCAAACAUAUGCAAGAUGGUAACCUUGAAAAAUUAAAGUGCAUGCCAUUAUACUGCA